AUUGAACGCUGGCGGAAUGCUUUACACAUGCAAGUCGAGCGGCAGCGCGGGGGCAACCCUGGCGGCGAGCGGCGAACGGGUGAGUAAUGUAUCGGAACGUACCCAGUCGUGGGGGAUAACUAUCCGAAAGGAUAGCUAAUACCGCAUACGACCUGAGGGUGAAAGCGGGGGACCGUAAGGCCUCGCGCGAUUGGAGCGGCCGAUAUCGGAUUAGCUAGUUGGUGAGGUAAAGGCUCACCAAGGCGACGAUCCGUAGCUGGUCUGAGAGGACGACCAGCCACACUGGAACUGAGACACGGUCCAGACUCCUACGGGAGGCAGCAGUGGGGAAUCUUGCGCAAUGGGCGAAAGCCUGACGCAGCGACGCCGCGUGGGCGAAGAAGGCCUCGGUUGUAAAGCCUCUGGGGAGGAACGGAACGUAGUGCGGGGGCGUAAGU
rnacentral:rRNA from 1 species